CGGAGCCUGAGGCGUUACCUGGACCCCUGAGGGGGACAUGCGUGGGCGAGGCCGCUGACAGGAGCCCGGCCUCCUGGGAGUCCGCGCAGACUCCCCCCUCCAAUGCGAACGAGCCGAGGCGCUUCGUUCAGAGCGUGCCACGCACAGCACAGCACGGAGCCCGGCGGAGACUCCAAGGCAGGCGGGGCCCUGCUCCUGAACCUGAGGCUCCGUCCGCGGGAGGCCAGCAAGCUGGAGAAAGGUGGAAGGUGGCUCUGCGGGGAAACCGGAAGACCUGUGGCCCCAUUCUUGCUCUCGGCCCCAGGAGGACAGGGUGCUCUAUGCCUGUGAGCGCGCCCAGCGUCUAGACCAGGGUCUGCUGAGGUCAUUCGGCCUCGACUUCUGACAGAUGCGUCACCGCCCUGUGGUGUACACCCUCCUUUUCUCAUCAUGCCGGGACUGUCCACAGCGGUUCUUUUCUGUUUCCUCGUGUGUCAUUUAAUGGUGUGGAAUCAA